rnacentral:rRNA from 1 species
GAGUUUGAUCCUGGCUCAGGAUGAACGCUGGCGGCGUGCUUAACACAUGCAAGUCGAGCGAAGCACUUUUUUAGAACUCUUCGGAGGGAAGAGAGGGUGACUUAGCGGCGGACGGGUGAGUAACGCGUGGGCAACCUGCCUUACACAGGGGGAUAACAAUUAGAAAUGAUUGCUAAUACCGCAUAAGACCCCAGUGCCGCAUGGUACAGGGGUAAAAACUGAGGUGGUGUAAGAUGGGCCCGCGUCUGAUUAGGUAGUUGGUGGGGUAGAAGCCUACCAAGCCGACGAUCAGUAGCCGACCUGAGAGGGCGACCGGCCACAUUGGGACUGAGACACGGCCCAAACUCCUACGGGAGGCAGCAGUGGGGAAUAUUGCACAAUGGGGGAAACCCUGAUGCAGCGACGCCGCGUGAGUGAGGAAGUAUUUCGGUAUGUAAAGCUCUAUCAGCAGGGAAGAAAAUGACGGUACCUGACUAAGAAGCCCCGGCUAACCACGUGCCAGCAGCCGCGGUAAUACGUAGGGGGCAAGCGUUAUCCGGAUUUACUGGGUGUAAAGGGAGCGUAGACGGAAUUGCAAGUCUGAUGUGAAAAUCCGGGGCCCAACCCCGGAACUGCAUUGGAAACUGUAUUUCUAGAGUGUCGGAGAGGCAAGUGGAAUUCCUGGUGUAGCGGUGAAAUGCGUAGAUAUCAGGAGGAACACCAGUGGCGAAGGCGGCUUGCUGGACGAUGACUG